rnacentral:rRNA from 1 species
UUACCCACUCCCGGCACGGGGAGGUAGUGACGAAAAAUAACGAUACGGGACUCAUCCGAGGCCCCGUAAUCGGAAUGAGUACACUCUAAACCCUUUNNCGAGGAUCAAUUGGAGGGCAAGUCUGGUGCCAGCAGCCGCGGUAACUCCAGCUCCAAUAGCGUAUAUUAAAGUUGUUGCGGUUAAAAAGCUCGUAGUCGAAUUUGUGUCUCGCGCCGCCGGUGCAGCGUUCGCGUUGUCUACUGGCGAGUCGCGAGACGUCCUGCCGGUGGGCUUAGCUCGCAAGGGCGGCCCAACUCAAUCCUGCCGCGGUGCUCUUCAUUGAGUGUCGAGGUGGGCCGGCACGUUUACUUUGAACAAAUUAGAGUGCUUAAAGCAGGCUAAAACUCCGCCUGAAUAUUGUGUGCAUGGAAUAAUGGAAUAGGACCUCGGUUCUAUUUUGUUGGUUUUCGGAACCCCGAGGUAAUGAUUAAUAGGAACGGAUGGGGGCAUUCGUAUUGCGACGUUAGAGGUGAAAUUCUUGGAUCGUCGCAAGACGGACAGAAGCGAAAGCAUUUGCCAAAAACGCUUUCAUUGAUCAAGAACGAAAGUUAGAGGUUCGAAGGCGAUCAGAUACCGCCCUAGUUCUAACCAUAAACGAUGCCAGCUAGCGAUCCGUCGACGUUCCUCCGAUGACUCGACGGGCAGCUUCCGGGAAACCAAAGCUUUUGGGUUCCGGGGGAAGUAUGGUUGCAAAGCUGAAACUUAAAGGAAUUGACGGAAGGGCACCACCAGGAGUGGAGCCUGCGGCUUAAUUUGACUCAACACGGGAAACCUCACCAGGCCCGGACACCGGAAGGAUUGACAGAUUGAGAGCUCUUUCUUGAUUCGGUGGGUGGUGGUGCAUGGCCGUUCUUAGUUGGUGGAGCGAUUUGUCUGGUUAAUUCCGAUAACGAACGAGACUCUAGCCUGCUAACUAGGCGUAUUUUGACAUCCUAAAGGCCCGCCGGCUCGG